rnacentral:lncRNA from 1 species
GGAGACUAAGCCAAUCUCUGAGUAUAUAAAAGAGGAGGAUUUUUUUUUUAUUUCUGGGAGAUGUUUUCUUCUGUAAUGGCUUGCUAUUUAUUAAAGAACUUUUCCCUUAAAAUUAGCUCCUAAAGAUAACCAAUUUGCCUUUUGAGCUUCAUUUCAUUUCCAGGCAACUCAGGUGUGCCUGUGGUGUUGGGUCUAAAUCCUCUGGCCCCGGUUGAUUAGAAACUUGAAGGCAGGAACUCAUUCUAGAUACACAAGUGCAUGCAGUAUGGACAUAUCAAAGGGAAUUAAUCUAUACAGAUACAGAUAAAAGAAGCAGAAAUAAUUGUAUAUAGGCAAAGGAUAAGAGAAGAGAGAAGACAAAAGGCAAGAAAGAAGUCAAAUACAAAUAAAAGAGAAUAUGAAAAGACUAUUGUAUUAUGUUCAUACUAUGUGAAGUUAAAGUACUUUAAGAUCAUCGGAUGUAAGAUACUAUUUACAGGGAGAAGUUCUUGCUCCGGUGCAGGAGAGGAGUACAGAUGCCAGUCAGAGGCUGUGAGGACACCCACCUCUGCCCCUUGGUUUGGAAGGGAGCUGUGCUGGAGCUCCACGAAGGCCUCACAUUCAGAUUGGCAGCAGGUUCAGAUUGGAUUUCCUCUCUACAGCUGCUCCACGCUCCACUUGCGCCAUGUCCAAACAUCUGGCUUUAAUAGCAGUUCCAAGUGGGAACAUGACAGCAAAUAUGUCCUGCACGCAACAGCAAACUAUGGCCCUAAUUGCCUCUGGCUCAUGUGAUGUAAGAUGGCUAGAAGUUUCCUCUGCCUCUCCUUAUGUAGACAUGCCAUGCAUGAACAUGUAGUGGAGAGGAACCUCGCCCUUCAUUUAUAAUCGUUCCAUGAGCUCAUCUAUGCUCUAAAAGAG